AAAAUAAAAUUUGAUUUUAAAAAAAUUUAAUUUUUAAACUAGGAUUAGAUACCCUAUUAUUUUAAGCUUAAUGUUGGUAGUAAGUAAAAAUUAUGAAAUCAUAAAAUUUUGGCGGUAUUUUAAGCUUGUUAGAGGAAUUUGCUCUAUAAUGGAUACAACGCCUAUAUCUUACUUAAUUUUGUAGUUAAAGUCAGUUUGUAUACCACUAUAUUUAAUUAUAUUGAAUAAUUAUAUUUAAGAUUUUUAUAUAAAUAUAUAUUAAGUCAAGGUGCAACAAAUAAUUA
rnacentral:rRNA from 1 species